rnacentral:misc_RNA from 1 species
GAAAUGCGAUAAGUAAUGUGAAUUGCAGAAUUCAGUGAAGCAUCGAAUCGUUGAACGCACCUUGCGCCUUUUGGUAUUCCGAAAGGCAUGCCUGUUUGAGUGUCAUGAAAUCUCAAUCCCCCCGGGUUUUCUGAACCCGAGGUGGACUUGGACAUGGGUGUCUGCCGUCUCGUACGGCUCGCCUUAAAUGACUCAGUGGGAUCUUCAGUAUCCGUGACAGACCCAAUACGUUUCGUCUCGUCCCUUGCUGUGACGACCGCUCAUAACCCGCCAUCGCGCACCACUUUUGACUCUGACCUCGCAUCAGGUAGGACUACCCGCUGAACUUAA